ensembl:snRNA U6 U6 spliceosomal RNA
GUGCUCAGUUUGGUAGCACAUGUACUAAAAACUGUAACGAUAUAGAAAAGAUGAGCAUGGCCCCUGUGCAAGGAUGACAUGCAAAUUCGUGAAGUGUUUCAUAUUUUU